AAGACAUUAAGUUAAAUAAACUAGUGGUCUUCAAAACCUCCAAUAACUAUAUUUUGUUAUGUCUUG
rnacentral:tRNA from 1 species